rnacentral:lncRNA from 1 species
UCUCUAUCUUCUUCACAAAUUAUACAGGAAGGUUGGUAGUCAUUUUCAUUAAUGUAGGUGAGGAAGAGAGGAUGGUCAUCAUACUCGUGUCUUGCUUUGUAUGGCAGUGUAGCACAUUUCAUACCCAGCUUGAAAUCGCAAACCACACAUUUAAAAAACACCUUCGAUUCUUCACUGACACAACAGCCACUGCAAUGGGGAAUAUUCUCUCUGACAUCUGUAGCCCAAGGGGGAGGCCCGCGACCUCCAUUAUUGCAACGGAGAAUAUUCUUUCUGUCCGCUGGAAGAUAAAGGGGAUGCUCAUGACCUCCAUGUUUAAAAGAAUCUUUCAAUGAUUUGAAGCAUCGGACAUCAAUGGAGAGUCUACAUAUAUCACAAAAGUAGCUGAGCCCACGAGAAACUUGAUUACACACAUGACAGUAGUACAGAUCAUGUGACCCUCGGUUCCAUGAAAGAAUCAGUUGGUUUUCGUGAUAUUGCCACUUUUUUUUCCUGGGUAAUUCUAUGUAGGUUUUGUCAAGAAAGAAAUUACAACUGGCACACCUAUAAAAUGGAGUUGAGAUUGGUAGCAUGCACCCGUCACACUUUAGAUCAUCAUCAACCUUGUCAAUAAGGAUUAGGUUAUGUUGAUGACUGAAAUGCUCGAUCUCUUCAAUUAUUCUCUCCUCUCCAUGCUUGAUCUCACGGACAACGCGAAAGCUAGGUUCCAUGAAUUGAUCAUCAACCGUCACACUUUGCUCUUCUUCGUUUUCUUCUACAAUCUCUGUUUCAAAAUCGCCAUAUUCUACACUACAAUUCACGUGUGCAACGAAGUCACAGUCUGGGCAAUAGUAAACUCCGUAUUUUGAGUCAACUUCCAGACGGCAAAUUCCACAGUACUUGUUUAUCGAUUCGAUGCAUUGUUGAUGUUGAUACGUGUGGAUGAUUCGGGGAUGAUGGUGCAGUGCCGUUUUAAGGGUGCGUGGCAAUGAAAUGCAUUCUUCGUGGACCAAGAGUUGGCACGUGGUGCACAUGAAAGGGGAGUCAUCUCUCUCAGUGCCACAUGCAUUGCAAGUGAAGGAGAUUGAUUUUAAUGAAAGUGGAUUCAGCAGGCUUCUAAAUUGAUGCCCCUGAUCCUGAUCAGCUGCAUAAACGCAUGGUGGAAAAGCACAUUUGAUAUGGAGGUUGAAUUCGCACACAAAACAGCAGUAAACAAAACUCUCAUAGCAAGUUUCUUUGCAAAAACCACAGAUCAUGUGAUGAUUUGGCAGUAGACGAAGAGGGUGUUCUGGAUGAAUGUGCCUCUUGAUCUCUGGGGGUAGCUCAGCACACUUCUUGUGAAGAAAGAAGUUGCAAGAAGUGCAACUAUAGCUAGGACCAGACAUUGGUUCCUUGCACAAAGAGCACACAACUCCUGCACCAUGAUAUUCUUGUUCUUCAUUCAAAAUCAAUGGAUGAUCCUUAUGGGCAAAUUGACUAUCAACCUCAAAAAAACCCGGUUGAAAAGCACAUUUGAUAUCUAGAUCAAACUUACAGAAAGAACAAUGGUAAACAAAACUGUUGAAAGUUUUGGUGCACCGAUUACAACGGUAUUUUCCUUUAUAUGGUGACUUUGCCAGUAGAUGAAGAGGGUGUCUACGAUGAAUGCGCCGCUUGAUCUCACGGGGCAGCUCGGCGCAUUUCUUAUGAAGAAAGAAGUAGCAAGAGGUGCAACUGUAGCAAGGACCCCAUAUUGGUCCCUCGCAUCCAGAGCAAAUAACUAGUUCACAACUAUACUCGAGAACUUGAUUAAUGAGGAUCAACGGAUGAUCUGGGUGGCUAAAAUGUUCAACCUCCAUGUCUCUGGCUCUCUCAGAAGGCAGAGCAGGAAAUAAGGGGUGUUGACCCAAGGCAAGACAUAGGGAGGCCAUAUUGAAGCUGCCGAAUAUAUAUGUUAUCGAAAUGGAAAGGCAAAUAAAAGUUGAGUGCUACAAGUAUUCAAUACCUCAUCUUCUCAACUGAAACUUGACCUCUUCACCGACGGCUAAUUAAAUAAUCACAGCUGCUUACUGCUACAUUACAGAUCAACCAACGAGAUCCAGAACACAGUGAUUUCCAAUCAAGAUCGGAUACCAAUCAAUUGCUGGGGAAGCAUUUUUCUUCCUUCUUCCCAUUUAUCAAAGAUUAUGGGACAGAAAGCCCAAACGAAAAAUAAUUAAAAGGACCCGAUAUUCAAAGAAGCCCAAAAAGGAAGGAAGGGUGUUAUCUGUAAGGAAUAGGUGGGAAGAAGAUCGUGAGGAAAGCUACAGGCUCCUCUAUUUGUGCGGAUGAGAUUAUUUUCAAGAAUGUGAAUAAGAAGACACUUUCCCAUGUCUUUUCUGGUUGGAGAAGAAGACUCGUUGACUUGAGUUGCGUCUCCUCAACUUCUUAUAUUACUCAUUUGCCCAUGGGUAGCGGUUUAAAAUUGCUUUCUAAACGGUUUUUUUAAUAAAAAAAUAUUUAAAAUUAAGUUUUUUGUAUUUUUAAAUAUGUUGAUAUUAAAAAUAAUAUUUAAAAAAUAAAAAUAUUUAUUUUAAUAUUUUUUUCACAACAAAUCCUCUCACAAGCCAUAGUGAUUCACGAAUGAAUUUAGUUUUUUUGUAUAAUUUUGUAGUUAUUUAUAAAAUUUCUUAGAUAUAUAAUUAUAAUUUUGUAGUUAUUUAUAACCAAAAAGAAGGGUUACUGAUAAGUUAAUAUCUUUGCAGCAGUAAAUCAAGUAAGUUAAAUAGUAUUACAUAAUAAUGUAUAUAAUUUAUUUCUCUUUGUUUAUGCAUCCCACAUUAUAUAUAACUUCUUCGAUGAACAAACCAAUUGAAAUAUAAUAUAGAGCCUCUGGUAGGUUUGUGCUUGAAUGACCACUGUUCAAUAAAUAAGGUGAAAUGACAUAUCAAAUAGAUGUAUUUUUAUUUCAACCUUAGAAUUGAUUUUUCUUGUGUGUUUUUAAAUUUUUAUUUUAUUUUAUAUUUUUAGAUUGAUUUGAUAUAGUAAUGUUAAAGAUAAAUUUUUAAAAAUAAAAAAAUAAUAUUUUAAUAUAUUUUUAAAUAAAAAACAUUUUAAAAAAUUAUCACUAUUAUAAUACACAUGGUGGUUUGGAUGUGUUUCGAUCAUAGUUUUAAAAUUUGGUUCAGUUCAGGUUUAAAAACUCUAGUUUUGAUAAUUUGAAAUUCAAAACAGCGGCUUCAUGAAGUUUAUCUAGAACAAAAAUUAGGUCAUUCGUUUGAUAAACCUAUUUCUUGGUUAUCUCUACCAAGUAAUUUCUCGUUUGUCCUUUUUAUUUUUCCUUUCUCCUUGUUUCUUAAAGUAAAAUGUAUUAAGAAAGUGAAACAAAGAUUUUCUUCAGAGGUAAAAUCUAUUUCUUGGUUAAUCCAUUGAUCAACUCCGAAAAAAUUAAGGCAAAGUAACUGUGGCAAGGUAUUAUAUUUAUGAUAACCUCACCAAUAUUCUUUCGAAGGGGCCUCUAAACGAAGCACUAUAGUGCCUUUUUUUUUUCUUUCUUAUUUUUCAUUUGAUUUUUUUAAUAAACGCUUCUUCUUUUUUUUGCAAUUUCAUUUUUAAUAUUAAAUUUAUUUUUUAUUGGGUUAUUUCAGGUUCAUAAUUCAAAUAAUAAAUUUAGCUGAUUAACCCAAUUGACUCAAGGUUUUUUAUUUUCUUGAUUGAUUUUCCUCCAAUUUGAUUCUUUAAUAUUGAGUUGAACAUUAUGAUUUUUUCAGUUUGCUUUCUAUUAGGUUAUCACGAUUCAUAUAAAUAACUUAACAGAUUAACCCGAGUUGACUCAGGUGAUUUUUUAUGCCUUUUUUAAAAUAUAUUUUUUAAUUUUCUUAUUCAAUAUUAGACGAGUUGGAAAAUGAGCUUUACAAUUUUUUUUAAUUUUUUUUAUGAGGUUGUCCUUAUCUUAUGAUCAAGGUUGCGGGUCUAGCAGGUUAACCAAGUUUAAAAUAAAGUUAUUAUUUUUAUUUUCUUUCUAUAAGGUUAUCUCGGUCUCAUUACCCAGGUCAUGAGUCUUUCAACAUUGAUUUUUUUAUUGGGUUGUUCUAAUCUCAUGAUCUAGAUCGCGGGAUUGACAACUUAGCCUGGUUAACUCGGUUUUUAUUUUUAUUUUUUAAUUGUUUUAUUUUUCAAUUUUAUUUUUUAAUAUUUGGUUGAUUGGGAAUUAGGCUUUAUGAUUUGUUUCGGCUUAUUUUUCACUAAGUUUUCUUGCUCUCAUGACUUGAGAAUAGUGCUAAACGGAUUAACCGAAGUUGACUCGAGUUGUUUUUUGUAUCCUUUUUUAUUGACUUUUUUUUCAAAAUUAAUCAUUCAACAUUAUGUCGGUUGAGAAUGAACUUUAUAAUUUGUUUUUUUUUUGUUUAUAGGAUUAUCCCGGUCUCAUGACUAGGAUCAUCGGUUUGACAGCUUAACCUGGUUAAAUCAAGUUGUUUUUUUUUUCUUUCUAAGAUAUUAUCUUAAUCUCGUAAUCCAGGUAACAGGUUUGAUGGAAUGUCUCUAGUCAUUUUUUAUGUUUUUUAAGUGAUUUUAUUUUUAAAUUUAUUUUUGACAUUAGCACAUCAAAAUGAUAUGAAAAAACAAAGAAAAAUUAUUAUUUUUAAAAAAUAAUUUUUUUUUCAAAAAUAUUUUAAAAAAUAAGCAACCUGUAAAGGGCAUAAUUUUAUUUAUUUUUAUCUCAAUCCAACUCAAAUUUUAUUAGAAGAAUUUAAAAGCUUUAUUUUCUAUAAAAUUAGAACGUUUUAGUCAUUUAAAACCAGUAAGACUUUCAAAUAAAAACACAAAAAAUCUAUCACACUUGUAAUAUUUUAUUAGUUGAUUUAGAAUUUUUUCCUAUUUAGUUUAAAAUUCUAUUAUUAUUAUUAUUUUAAUUUUGUUUAGGAUUUUUUAAUAAAUAAAAACUAUAAUAUUAUAUAUUAAUUAGAGAAUUUUAAUAUAGUGAUUCUACUCGUAUUACUUGUUUUUUCUGCUUGCAGUAGAAGUUUCAAAAGCAUUAAUUAUUUUUUUGAAGUACCCGAUUAAAAAUAAUUAAAUUGGGUUUGAACUCGAGAGGGAUUUUUGUCUAAAUUAAAAAUCAAUCAGGUUCUAGAUUGCUUCGCCGCUGAUUUAUAUUAUCUAACCAAAUAAUUGAAAUGAGAUUUGGGCCUCUAAUUCAAUCCCUUCGUGGUUUUGAAAUUAGAUAAAGAAGAUGGAGGCUUAUUCUUAUUCUUCUUAAGAAGAAAAAUACUAAAAACAGGAAUUAACUUCCCUUUUCACGAUAUAUCUUAAAGGACAAAGCUAUCGAAUGGAUCAUACCAAUAAUAUAGUACACCAGCAUCGCAUGCUGGAUAAUCCUCUGUCUUGUCGACCAAAGCAAGAGGGUGAGGUAGAAUAUUGUACACCAGACAAGCGCAGACAAAAGAAGCAUAUACAUGAUGCAAAUUGGGCAAGUUCAGUCAUUGAUAGAGGAUACAGAUUAAAAUAUUGCACUUAAGUUUGAGAAAAUAUAGUAACAUGGCAAAGUAAAAAACAAAAUGUGGUUGCAAGAAGCAGUGCUGAGGUAGAAUAUAGGGUUAUGGCAAUGAAGUUUGGGAAAUGUUAUGGCUAAAGAGAAUUCUUGAAGAGGAAGAGCUGUGAAUGCCUAUGAAUAUGCCAACAUUAACAAAGCUCCCGUUUCUUGUUUUUCCUAAUUUGUGGCCUUUCUAAUUUGGUGAUAUUCAGCACUCAUCUCCAUCUGUGCCGCAUGCAUUGCAAGUGAAGGAGAUUAUAGGCGUCUAAAUUGAUGUUCAUGCCGCAUGCAUUGCACAUGAACAUCUUGAAGCAGUUUAUCGGAUUCUCAUAUGCUUGAAAAGCAAACCAGACAAGCGCAGACAAUACAAGCAUACACUGAUGCAGAUCCAUUUUAGAAUAUUGUACUUAAGUUUGAGGAAAUAUAGUUACAUGGCAAAGUAAGAAACAAAAUGUGGUUGCAAGAAGCAUACAAAAUGAGGUAGAAUAUAGGAAGAGAAUUCUUGAAGAAACUGUGAAUGCCUGUGAAUAUGUCAACAUUAACCAAGCUCCCGUUUCUUGUUUUUCUAGCCUAGAGAUCCGAUCUUUAUUUUGAUUUCCUAAUUUGGUGAAACUUUCUAUACACAGGGAAAAUUGUCUGAGAGUGGGUUAGCUGAACGAAGAAAUGCAACAGAUGUGACGUCUGAUGGUAUAAUAAUCUUCAACAAAUCAGUGCCACAUGCAUUGCAAGUGAAACAGAGAUUAAGGAUUUUCUUGGAAUAGAGAUUGCUCCGAUCUUUAUUUUGAUUUCCUAAUUUGUGGCCUUUCUAAUUUGGUGAUCUCCUCUACUAUUUUAUCUUGUAACUUUAUCAUAAAAAAUUAAUUUAAAGUAAAUUUUUUAUAAAAAAAAUAUUUUUAAAACACAAAAAUAAACAGAUUUUUAAUAAUAAAAAAGCUAGGAAUAUUGCUAGCAGCAUGCAAAGGUUCGAGAUUUUUAAUUGGAUACCUACAAAAUUGAAGCAACAACAAUUUGAAUUGGAGACAAGAUUGAUAUAUGAUUUUUUUUUCUUAAAUAAGUAGUCUUGUGAAGGGUAUAGUUUUAUUUUUAUUUUUUACUUUAUCCAACUCAAAUUUUAUUAGAAGAUUUUAAAAGCUUUAUUUUCUAUAAAAUUAGAAUUUUAUAGCCUUUUAAAAUCAGUAAGACUUUCAAAUAAAACCACAAAAACUAUCAACUUGUAAUAUUUUAUUAGUUGAUUUAUAAUUUUUUUUCCUAUUUAGUUUAAAUUUUAUUUUUAUUUCAUAUUUUUUUAAUAUAUAAACACUAUAAUAUUAUAUUUUAAUUAGAGAAUUAUUAUAUGACAAUAUUUUAUUAUAUGACAACAUAUACACGUCGCAGAUAUACACAUAGUAAUUAUCUAAGAAAAAUUAGAUAAGUGUUAUUUUAUAUGACAAUAUUUUUAUGCCUUUAUAAUAAAAUCUAUAACAAAAAUGUAAAGAGGGAAUCGAAACAAUAAGUAGAAUAAUUUAUGGAGAGGAUCAAGAGCUUCCUGCUGAGCUACAAAAAAUGGUGGAAGGUCAGACAUCUCUCUCACUACGAAGGCACACAGAAACAACAAACUACCUUCAAGGACAGUGUUAAUAAAAUAGCAUCCAUUGUCUAAAUUAAAAAUCAAUCAGGUUUUAAACUGCCUCGCCGCUGAUUUAUAUUGUCUAACCAAAUAAUCGAAAUGGGAUUUGAAAUUAGAUAAGGAAAAUCGAGUCUUGUUCUUAUUCUUCUUUUAUAUGACAACAAACACUACCUUCAAGGACAGUUUUAAUAAAAUAGCAUCUUUUAUUGUUCAGAACAAAACAGAGAAACAAAAAAGUGAUCUCAUACAAGAAAAUAGAAACAGAGAUAAUAAUCCUCUGUCUAGCAACUGCCAACAAUCAUAACCCAAAAAUAAGAAAAAAGCCAACAACUGCAAUCCAAUUACCAUAUUAACGGAUCAAUGCAUUGCCUUCUUUUCCUGUGGACGAUAAAAUUGCAGUUAGGAUCAGUACAUUCAAGGGCCAAGUCAUCGCAAGGCUCGCCACAAGUAUCGCAUGCCUGUGGACGAUAAUCCUCUGUCUUGUCGACCGAAACAAGAGGGUGAGGGUGUUUAGGAUACGUGCGAACCCCCCCUUGCUUGACAUAUGGGUAUUUCCCGAGAGCACAUUCAGGAUGAGCAUCGAAGUCGCAUUCCUCACAACGGUAGAACCAGAGCUUUGGGUCUCUAUCUUUUUCACAAAUUAAACAGGAAGGUUGGUAGUCAUUUUCAUUAAUGUAGGUGAGGAGGAGAGGAUGGUCAUCAUACUCGUGUCUUGCUUUGUAUGGCAGUGUAGCACAUUUCAUACCCAGCUUGAAAUCGCAAACCACACAUUUAAAAAAUACCUUUGAUUCUUCACUGACACAACAGCCACUGCAAUGGGG